UGAAAGACACCCUGCAUCGGCCGCCAUCCCCUCCCCUCACCGCCGCCGUCCCCUUGCCCUCAGUAGCUAGGGUUCCCACCGCCGCCGUCUCCUUGCCCCGCCUCCCCCUGUCCCUUCGCCGAGCCCGCCUCCCUUCCCACUUUCUCCGCCCGUCGAGGACGCAUACUGCAUCUUCGCCAUCCUCCUCGCGUCGGGGACGCACACAGCGUCAUCGCCAUCUUCCUCGCGUCGGGGAAGGUGCGUUCGCCGCUGUUCCUCCGCGCGACCUAAGAUGCCGAGGCCGCCGUUCUUCCUCUGCACAGCCAGGGACGACGCAAGCACCGACGCCCCCGUCCUCAACUGCAUUAGUUCAGUAGAGAGAUUUGGUGUAGUGAUAUAAGUACUGCUACAUGUGGGGAAAAGAACUUGCCAGACAACAUAGUGAAAUAAAUGCAGGAUUCUUCUACUCAAACACCAAACAAGGAGAAAAGAUGGUUUCUUCCGAGAGACUCAAGUUGAUGAACCUGUCAAUAAGAUCAUUGAAUUGAAAAAUAAGUUUCUGUCAGUAAGAUACAAUACUUUUGUGGUGAUCAACUAGAAAACCAUUGGUCCUCCAUCCAUCGGUCUCCUAGCUAGAGUAGGGGUUGUGAGAAUUUUAUUUAUGGAUCAGGAAUUCUAAUCUAUGACUUGGUGAAUCUCAGUAAUUACGAUCUCUUGUGUGAUGUAGAAUAUUUAAAGAUUUUCAAGUUGUUGCACUUAGAUUUCUCCUAAUACACCAUAACAUGCAUGACUAAUAAAUCAUCACAAGCAAGAGUAGUACGGGAGCAAUCUAACGCAAAGCUAGCUAGUGUAGAGACCUCUCAAAAAUGGAAAUAAUCAAUUCAGUAUAUUCAAUAUUAUUAGUUAGCUACUUGUCAUUUAGUUAGUUGCUAAAUUCAUCUCAUUUUUAAUAUAAUAUAAUUUUUAGUAGUAUAUGCAAGCUGAUGGUUGUUCACAAUGAACAACCACAUCUGAUUGGUCAAAGCUGCUCUGAGUAAUAUGCAGCUUCUAACAAGCCAUGGAUAUUCAAAACAUGUGCAAGGCAAUUAAAAUAAAUAGAAUGCCCUCAGUUUACAAAGAAUGGGUGACUUGAAGUCUGUGUGUUUGUACUCCAUAGCAUAGUGAUGGCCCUUUUGCUAGCAUGUAUUAUUAUUAUUAUUAUUAUUAUUAUUAUUAUUAUUAUUAUUAUUAUUAUUAUUAUUAUUAUUUUACACAGAGUGAUGAUACUGACAUUGCAAGUAUAUGCAGUUUCCACAUCUGAAUUUUGGUAUUUUUUUAGAGAAAAUAGACUGGAACACUAAAAACAUGUAUUAAUAGUUCAUAUAGUUUUGAGUUGAUGCAAGAUGCAAAAUUAAUUAGUACAUGGAUAUAAAUAUCAUAAUCUAAGAUGUUAUUGAUAAAUUCAUGUUGGAUUUUCGUUUUGUAUUUAGAUUAUUAAUUAUCCCCUUGUCUAUAGAUAAGUCUAUGUCUCGAUAAAUCACAUUUGUAGGGUGCUCCUUUAAAUUAUAUUUCUAUGAUAACCUGAUUUCUCUCAUGUAAGUUGCUCGUCUCAUAUUAUUGUUGUUUUUGUUGUUGUUGUAGACCACGAAGAUAAA